GGAGUGCUUAGAAGUGAGAAUGCCGGUAUGAGUAGCGAAAGACGGGUGAGAAUCCCGUCCACCGAAUGCCUAAGGUUUCCUGAGGAAGGCUCGUCCGCUCAGGGUUAGUCAGGACCUAAGCCGAGGCCGACAGGCGUAGGCGAUGGACAACAGGUUGAUAUUCCUGUACCACCUCUUUAUCGUUUGAGCAAUGGAGGGACGCAGAAGGAUAGAAGAAGCGUGCGAUUGGUUGUGCACGUCCAAGCAGUUAGGCUGAUAAGUAGGCAAAUCCGCUUAUCGUGAAGGCUGAGCUGUGAUGGGGAAGCUCCUUAUGGAGCGAAGUCUUUGAUUCCCCGCUGCCAAGAAAAGCUUCUAGCGAGAUAAAAGGUGCCUGUACCGCAAACCGACACAGGUAGGCGAGGAGAGAAUCCUAAGGUGUGCGAGAGAACUCUGGUUAAGGAACUCGGCAAAAUGACCCCGUAACUUCGGGAGAAGGGGUGCUUUCUUAACGGAAAGCCGCAGUGAAUAGGCCCAAGCGACUGUUUAGCAAAAACACAGCUCUCUGCGAAGCCGUAAGGCGAAGUAUAGGGGGUGACACCUGCCCGGUGCUGGAAGGUUAAGGAGAGGGGUUAGCGUAAGCGAAGCUCUGAACUGAAGCCCCAGUAAACGGCGGCCGUAACUAUAACGGUCCUAAGGUAGCGAAAUUCCUUGUCGGGUAAGUUCCGACCCGCACGAAAGGUGUAACGAUUUGGGCACUGUCUCAACCAGAGACUCGGUGAAAUUAUAGUACCUGUGAAGAUGCAGGUUACCCGCGACAGGACGGAAAGACCCCGUGGAGCUUUACUGUAGCCUGAUAUUGAAUUUUGGUACAGUUUGUACAGGAUAGGCGGGAGCCUUUGAAACCGGAGCGCUAGCUUCGGUGGAGGCGCUGGUGGGAUACCGCCCUGACUGUAUUGAAAUUCUAACCUACGGGUCUUAUCGACCCGGGAGACAGUGUCAGGUGGGCAGUUUGACUGGGGCGGUCGCCUCCUAAAGUGUAACGGAGGCGCCCAAAGGUUCCCUCAGAAUGGUUGGAAAUCAUUCGUAGAGUGCAAAGGCAUAAGGGAGCUUGACUGCGAGACCUACAAGUCGAGCAGGGACGAAAGUCGGGCUUAGUGAUCCGGUGGUUCCGCAUGGAAGGGCCAUCGCUCAACGGAUAAAAGCUACCCCGGGGAUAACAGGCUUAUCUCCCCCAAGAGUCCACAUCGACGGGGAGGUUUGGCACCUCGAUGUCGGCUCAUCGCAUCCUGGGGCUGUAGUCGGUCCCAAGGGUUGGGCUGUUCGCCCAUUAAAGCGGUACGCGAGCUGGGUUCAGAACGUCGUGAGACAGUUCGGUCCCUAUCCGUCGUGGGCGUAGGAAAUUUGAGAGGAGCUGUCCUUAGUACGAGAGGACCGGGAUGGACGCACCGCUGGUGUACCAGUUGUUCUGCCAAGGGCAUAGCUGGGUAGCUAUGUGCGGAAGGGAUAAGUGCUGAAAGCAUCUAAGCAUGAAGCCCCCCUCAAGAUGAGAUUUCCCAUAGCGUAAGCUAGUAAGAUCCCUGAAAGAUGAUCAGGUUGAUAGGUUCGAGGUGGAAGCAUGGUGA
rnacentral:rRNA from 1 species